GUUAGGAAUAUUGGACAAUGGGCGCAAGCCUGAUCCAGCCAUGCCGCGUGAGUGAUGAAGGCCUUCGGGUUGUAAAGCUCUUUAGCCGAUGAUUAUAAUGACUGUAGUCGGAAAAUAAGCCCCGGCUAACUUCGUGCCAGCAGCCGCGGUAAUACGAAGGGGGCGAGCGUUAUUCGGAAUCACUGGGCGUAAAGCGUGCGUAGGCGGCUUUGCAAGUUGGGAGUGAAAGCCCAGGGCUCAACCCUGGAAUUGCUCUCAAAACUGCAAGGCUCGAAUUCGGGAGAGGAUAGCGGAAUUGUCAGUGUAGCAGUGAAAUGCGUAGAUAUUGGAAGGAACACCAGUGGCGUAAGCGGCUAUCUGGACGAGUAUUGACGCUGAGGCACGAAAGCGUGGGGAUCAAACAGGAUUAGAAACCCGGGUAGUCC
rnacentral:rRNA from 1 species